CUUCCAACUCGACCCACAGCUCUGCCAGGAGAGGCAGCUGUGUCCAGAGGGGCAGGGAGACCUGCCUAGUGACCUGGCUGGUUGGUGACACAGCCAGGCCUAAGAAUGGAGUCUUCUGGUGACAGUUUAGUGUGUUUGAUCAUGAGGAGAGCACUCAGACCCCACAUCCUCGCGGUUGUCUGUUCGUCUGGGACUCCGGGCCCCUGCCCACCUCCUCUGCUUCUCUCAGUGACACCAGGUGGUUUCUUUGCCUGGGAUCCCCACACCUCCAUUCUCUUGAGUGCUUGGAGCUAUGACCUGUGAGGAUCCUUAGAACUCAAGACUACUGGAUGGAGAGGGGAGUGAAGGGGGCCAGCGGAAGCCUGCAGGUGCCUGGCAGGUCUGUGGGUGUCUCUUCUGAGCUACACCAGUUUCCAGGUUACCUGGGACCAUGGAUAACUCUCAGAUCAGCAACUUGUCAGUUGAUUUCCAAGCUGCUGUUGGCUGGACUCAGACUCAGCAGGGAGCACCUGGGCGAGCCCUGUGCUGCGGGCUGGACUCCGGCCCAUCUCGCUGAUUACUCUUGCUUUUGCUCCCCAGUGUGUCCUCAAGAGGUCAGAGCCUGCUUGUUGUUUCUUCAUGACCACGGGAGGAGGGGCACCAACAUGAGGGUGCUAGCAUCUCCCCAGUGGUGGCUUCCCAGGGCUGGGGAAACCCUGGGGGAGGGGUUGGGACAGGGACCUCUGUCGCUUGCUGUCACUGCCUGGGUCAACUGCCUGGCAGGGCUGGCCGCUCGUGCUCAGAAGGCUGAGGCCUUACCUGCCUUCUCCUCUCACCCAGCGCCCAUGUAAGGACACAUCUGAGUUGGCAUUCUGUGUCUGCUCUUGAGCUACUCGCAUGAUAAGUCUUUGUUGUCCUGUGGGAUGUCACCGGUUCAUGCUGAAGAGAAAUUGUAAAGGACUCCUUUGCCUGCUCAGGCCCCAUGGCCUCUGUCAUGUUUUGUCCCCGUCCCUUUGGGAGCACAGCAGCAGUGGGCUGGCUGGACUGUGCAGGCGAGGUUCAAGGAUGAGGUACAGUUGUGUGAAAGGUGAGCCUGCUGGACCGGGGAGCUUUCCUCAAGGCCUCCGCCUGGCUAUGAUGGCGUUAGGGUUGAGGGGAAGCUUCAUCCAAAAUGCACAGUACUUGGAUGUCAAGAUGAUGUUGCUGCUCUCAGGAUGAGUCACUCUCCACCACUGACUUCCUUUGAUGUUCUGAGCUCAGCCUGGAGUCUGACCUGGGACUAUAGCACUUGUUCUCCCAAGGUAAGGCUGGCGGCCAAACCCAGCUGCGCACACCUGAACCUGCUCCUUGGCAGAGAUGAAGGGCGUCAUGUUUCGUAGCCACUCAACACCCAUGGACAAUUUGGCUCCUUGUAAAGACUUAGUCAUGCCUUUGAACUGACUUACUUGAAAUAUAAUUGCUCCUAUUUUGCUCCAAAGACCAGUGGCAUGAUGGGUUAGAGUUAUUUGUAUUUAUUGAGAUUGUUGUAAUUAGCAAUCUCAGGGCUCAGUCUAACUGCAUUAUCCAUGCUGGAAAACUUAAAAAAAAAAUACAGUCCUUCAUCUUCAGUUUUCCAAUGGUCGCCAGUUAUACACAGCUAAUCUUUGCAGUGAAAGUUGUCUUUGGAGAAUGUGCUUUCUUGGUCCCGGGUGGUCCUGGUCUUGGGCUGGAAUCUACGUGAGCUGCUUUGAAGUAAGCUGACAAUACACAAUUAUUAAGGCUAUUUUGACCUGCAAGUAUGGUUUCUUAAAAAGGAACAAUUAAAUACCAUGUAGCAGUUAUUUAGACUUUAGCAUUGACUAAGGAAAGGAGAAAAUGGAAGAAGAACCCCCUCCUGCUUAGAUGCAGUCAUUUUUUAAAAAAAUAAUCUUUUGGGGAAUAAACUUAACCAAGGAGGUGAGGGACUUGUAAACAAAAUGUUAAAACUGCACUGAAGACUAGAAAAUGUUGAUGAAAGCUGUUAAAGAAGACACAAUUAGAUGAUGAAAACACAUCCCAUGUUCAUGGAUUGAAAGACAAUAUUGUUAAGAUGUCAAUACUAUAGAUUCUAUGCAAUCCCUGUCAAAACCCAAUUUUUUUUCAAACAUAGGAAAAUCCAUUCUAAAAUUUACAUGGACUCUCAAGGAACCCUGAGUAGACAAAACAAUCUUGUAAAAGAACAAUGUUGGAGGGCUCACACUUUCUGGUUUCAAAACUACAGUAAUUAAAAAGCUACAGUAAUUAAAACAGCAUGAUAUUGUCACAAAGAUAUAG
ensembl:lncRNA novel transcript